UCGGGAAUUUUGGGCAAUGGGCGAAAGCCUGACCCAGCAACGCCGCGUGAAGGAUGAAGUAUUUCGGUAUGUAAACUUCGAAAGAAUGGGAAGAAUAAAUGACGGUACUAUUUAUAAGGUCCGGCUAACUACGUGCCAGCAGCCGCGGUAAUACGUAGGGACCAAGCGUUGUUCGGAUUUACUGGGCGUAAAGGGCGCGUAGGCGGCAUGACAAGUCACUUGUGAAAUCUCUGGGCUUAACCCAGAACGGCCAAGUGAUACUGUCGCGCUAGAGUGCAGAAGGGGCAAUCGGAAUUCUUGGUGUAGCGGUGAAAUGCGUAGAUAUCAAGAGGAACACCUGAGGUGAAGACGGGUUGCUGGGCUGACACUGACGCUGAGGCGCGAAAGCCAGGGGAGCAAACGGGGAU
rnacentral:rRNA from 1 species